CCAGGACGCCAGUUUUGGCGGAGCCAUCCUUGGGAUACCACCCUUGUAGUACUGGGACUCUAACCAUAGGCCAUGAAUCUGGUCUUGGGACACUGUCAGGGGGGCAGUUUGACUGGGGCGGUCGCCUCCCAAAAGGUAACGGAGGCGCUCAAAGGUUCUCUCAGUACGGUCGGAAAUCGGACGUAGAGUGUAAAGGCAAAA
rnacentral:rRNA from 1 species